GCCACCCCGCUGAUCCCAUCCCUCCUGAUUCAGAUCCUUUCUCCCUGAUUCAGAUCCCUCCUAAUUCAGAUCCACCCCGCCGACCCCGCCGCCCGCACCCGCGCGCCAGCACCCGCUCUGUUCCGGGGGCUUCUGCCGUUCCGGGGGCUUCUGCCGCUCCUGAAACUCCGCCGCCCGCAUGCUCCCCGGCACCCACGAAGCGGCCACGCCGAUGGCCCCUGAGGGCGGCCCCGCCACCGCGCCGUGCAUGGAGCUGGAGCUCCUGCUCGGCGUGGCACCGUUCGACCUUGAGGCGGCCGUGUACAGCCACGGGCUGUUCAUGAUGGCGCCCAACCGCUGGGACCCGGCCUCCCACGCGCUCAUCUGCUAACUCCGCCUCGCCUCCGAUCACUCCAAGUCCCUGCUCGCCCGUGUCUCCCACCACCCCGUGCGCCCCUCCCGCACCCUCCUCGUCUUCGUCCUCGACGCUGACGCCCACUCCCUGCUCCACCAGGACUAUAUCCUCGAGCAAGUGCGACAGAUGUUGCGGCUGUCAGAGGAGGAUGAUAGGGUGGUGGCGGAGUUCCAGGCGCUGUACGCCGCCGCGAGGGAGGCGGGGUUCGGCCGCAUCUUCCGCUCCCCCACGCUGUUCGAGGACAUGGUCAAGUGCAUCCUCCUCUGCAAUUGCGAACUGUUGUGAUGGAAAAUCAUUUGAUUUGCUACAUAUCAUCAAUUCAACAGGAAGCGCCAAUAGUGACAAGAUAGAUGGUAGUGAGCAAACAUGGCACCAUCCAUGAGUCUUGCAGCGAAAGGUCUGCUCCCCUUUGGAGUGCUCCCCUCGAGCGGCGUCGCGCAGAGGCUGGUGUCUGUGACCGCCUCACUGGAGCACAAUACGAGCGAUUAUAAGAGGAAGCUACUGACCCUGUUUUUGGUCAAAGAAUAAUGGUUCACUGCAAGAAAUUAGUGCAAGACAGAGACACGCCACCAUGCAAUGAUUCUUCUCCCACUCGCAGGCCUCCCACUCCAGUAACUCUUUUUCUGCUCCAGCAUAGCAUAGCUGUCGUCGUCGCCCCUUCCAUAGUUGGGUUCGAGUCUUCUCCGGCAUUGCUAAAGAUCACCAUUCACACUAUAAUCCACAGGGUGACAGAGGAAGCCAUGUUGCAGUUUUGUUUGUUGCCAGCCCUGACUACGGUCGUCCAACGAGUCUGGCAUGUUGUUCACCUGACUACGGUCGUCCAGCGAGUCUGUCAUGUUGUUCAUCUGACUAUGGUCGUCCAGCGAGUCUGGCAUGUUGUCAUUUUCUUGUAAAGCAAUACUGUAUUACACUUAUCGAGCUCGUUACACUUGUAGAGCUUGAAAGUAAUGUAUUGCACAUGGUUAUGUAUUGGCACGUAUAAAGCUUGCUAUUGUGAUUGCCAUUGUAUUAUGUGA